UACAGGGGGGGCAAGCGUUGUUCGGAAUCACUGGGCGUAAAGGGUUUGUAGGUGGCUUGCUAAGUCAGACGUGAAAUCCCUCAGCUUAACUGGGGAACUGCGUCUGAUACUGGCGAGCUUGAGUGCAGGAGAGGAACGCGGAAUUCCAGGUGUAGCGGUGAAAUGCGUAGAUAUCGUCAAGAACACCGAUAGCGAAGGCAGCUUACUAGGCUGUAACUGACGCUGAUGCACGAAAGUGUGGGGAUCAAACAGG
rnacentral:rRNA from 1 species